rnacentral:rRNA from 1 species
UUUAUGGAGAGUUUGAUCCUGGCUCAGGAUGAACGCUGGCGGCGUGCCUAAUACAUGCAAGUCGAGCGAACGGACGAGAAGCUUGCUUCUCUGAUGUUAGCGGCGGACGGGUGAGUAACACGUGGAUAACCUACCUAUAAGACUGGGAUAACUUCGGGAAACCGGAGCUAAUACCGGAUAAUAUUUUGAACCGCAUGGUUCAAAAGUGAAAGACGGUCUUGCUGUCACUUAUAGAUGGAUCCGCGCUGCAUUAGCUAGUUGGUAAGGUAACGGCUUACCAAGGCAACGAUGCAUAGCCGACCUGAGAGGGUGAUCGGCCACACUGGAACUGAGACACGGUCCAGACUCCUACGGGAGGCAGCAGUAGGGAAUCUUCCGCAAUGGGCGAAAGCCUGACGGAGCAACGCCGCGUGAGUGAUGAAGGUCUUCGGAUCGUAAAACUCUGUUAUUAGGGAAGAACAUAUGUGUAAGUAACUGUGCACAUCUUGACGGUACCUAAUCAGAAAGCCACGGCUAACUACGUGCCAGCAGCCGCGGUAAUACGUAGGUGGCAAGCGUUAUCCGGAAUUAUUGGGCGUAAAGCGCGCGUAGGCGGUUUUUUAAGUCUGAUGUGAAAGCCCACGGCUCAACCGUGGAGGGUCAUUGGAAACUGGAAAACUUGAGUGCAGAAGAGGAAAGUGGAAUUCCAUGUGUAGCGGUGAAAUGCGCAGAGAUAUGGAGGAACACCAGUGGCGAAGGCGACUUUCUGGUCUGUAACUGACGCUGAUGUGCGAAAGCGUGGGGAUCAAACAGGAUUAGAUACCCUGGUAGUCCACGCCGUAAACGAUGAGUGCUAAGUGUUAGGGGGUUUCCGCCCCUUAGUGCUGCAGCUAACGCAUUAAGCACUCCGCCUGGGGAGUACGACCGCAAGGUUGAAACUCAAAGGAAUUGACGGGGACCCGCACAAGCGGUGGAGCAUGUGGUUUAAUUCGAAGCAACGCGAAGAACCUUACCAAAUCUUGACAUCCUUUGACAACUCUAGAGAUAGAGCUUUCCCCUUCGGGGGACAAAGUGACAGGUGGUGCAUGGUUGUCGUCAGCUCGUGUCGUGAGAUGUUGGGUUAAGUCCCGCAA